ensembl:lncRNA
GGGAGAGCCAAGAAGACAGGAAGACUGGAGGACUGAGGACAGUACAGAGGUCAUGACAUUUAUUCAAGGCAUGCUACAAUUAUAGUUGGGAUUCUGGUGUAAUAAUUAUAAUAAUAAGGAUUAUGAUAAUCAUAGUAAUAAUCAAUUCAAAAACAUGAAUGAAAAUGUUUCUAUAUAAAAUACAGAAACUCCACUCAACCAUGCACCGCAAAAAAUUUGAAAAUAUGUUUCUUUAAUAGUUUUAAUCUAUUUGCAUUCUGAUUACAUCAACUCGUAAAGGAAACCUGUUGUUUCUCACCCCAAACCUUCCAUCCCCACGACGUCACACACACUGCUUUACAAAUCAAACCUGGUAUUAUAUCAAAAUACACAAGACAAGUUGUUUUUUCAUGUGCUCAUCUUCAAAUACAAAAAAUAAAACGUCCAUGUCUUGUUGUUGUUUGUAGCUAUCUUGGCCUCAUUAACCUUUUUCUUGGCCAGACUAGGAAAAAAAGGACAUGUUUGAUUACAGCAUUUGUUGUUUUAUUUUGGUUGUGAAACAUUGGACUAUUAGCUUUAGUCUCCAUUCAGUCUGUAUCGCUGAAGUGGUCAAAUUAAAAGGCCAUUUUCUGAUUGAGCCGACACAGGCGGCGUUUACCGUGAACGCAGCUCCACUAACGCGGGAAUGUUGACAUUUAAACGAAAUCGCGAUGUUAAGGCCGAAUCUCCCCAAUACGGAUUGAAUAGAAACCCAGGUCUGUUAUCAAGACGCGCCGUGAUGAGACGAAGAAAAACACAAAAAGAAAAAACAGAAUGAAAUCAGAUCAGAAGAGAUACUACUACGUCCCAAAUGGAACCCCGUCGCCUACAGAUAGCACUCAUUGGGGAACGUAAAUAGGGGAUAGAGUCCCAUUUGGGAUGCGGCCUGACUAGGUGCUGUGCAAAUAUAAGCCUCUUUAAAAUGUAUCAUCUCUCCCUUUAAUAAUAAUGGAACAGGAAAUCAAUUGAACUUCUUAAUUGUCUCCCAUAUAAUUCAGUGAUUUAAAGUAAUGGUAGAAUGUCAGGAAACACUUCAAACAUUCAUCAGAAUCUCUGAGUCUGGACGCAAAACGGUAAAGCAAAUCUACUGUAGCGAAUUCGAGGGGUAGCCCCGUGUGGGACUCGAGCCCGGGUCCAGCGAAGGACGCUACUCUGUCAUCAUGACAGUUCGUUCUAAUAGAGGAAUCAAUUCCUUUGGUUUCAGUGCUAAAGGUUACAUUUAGUUAGGUUUUUUUUUUGUGUUUUGAGGGUAAGUGGGAACAAAUGGGCAAGCCUGGUAUCCAACCUAAUAUCAUUACAUUUCUGUAGUGAGCACAGCGUUCAGUCUGGUUGGACCAGGCUAGGAAUGGACUCCAUUUUUUUGUUGUUGAUGGAAGCAACGAUCUCGUCUUGAGCAAUGACGGACUUUCAUUUAAAUAAUAGCGAUGGAGGAUGGAACAAGGAGAUGAAUAACAGAUCAAUGAAAGGCACAUCAACUUUGGUCCGGUUUGUUUUUUGUUGUUUGUGACGAUUGAGUAUUAAAAAAAAACAUGAGGAUUUUAGUGUCUCAGCCCGUUUGAUAAUGUAAAAUGUUAGUCACAAUUGAAAUAAAAAGCAUAAAGUCUUUCAUCAUGGCUGAACUAUGCUGCCUGAGUUAAGAUGUGACUUGGUCUACCUCCCAAAUGGCACCCUAUUCCCCAUUUAGUGCACUACUUUUUACCAGUGGCCCUACAUGGGGAACAGGAUGCCAUUUGGGAUUGCAAACCUUGAAACUAUUCAGUCGGGACAGAGAUGUAGAGAGCGCCGUGUGGUUCGAUCUGAAGGUUAGAGAGAGACAUAGAACAUUCAGACAUUCUAGAAUAAUCCGCUUUCACGACGAUACAAAAGGUUUAGAGUCAUGUCUGGCUUCUUUCCUAUUCAGAAAUGAAAAAGGUUUUCAAUAACAUCGCCUAUGAGACGUGAGAGAAUCAAUCCACGGAAAGAUACGUAGGAUGAAGACCACGACCGAGGCAGCUCAGUAGCUCUGAUCCAGGGCGUCACUUAAACUCCCUGGACCCGAGCUAAACUAAGACUUCUGCAUAAAUAACCAGGAUGGUGGUUUAUGAGGUUCACAGUCUGAACCAGCCCUCAGACACCACAGUCCUAUUCCCUGUAUACUAUUCCUCACUAUUUUUGAUGCACCCAACAGCAUUGGGCCGAGGUCAGUGCCCGGGUCAGAAGUACUGCACUAUAUAUAGAACAUAGCUUGCUACUGAGGACGCAUCCUCAGGGGUUUUCAGCAACAAAAAAACAAACAACUGUUGUUGUGAAAAACAGAGCGACAGACAACCAUAACCAGUUUUUUACCUUUUAAAGAAAAUAUUCUAAUAAAACACGUUAUCACUGCAGAUCAAAUGAAAAAUACCCUCUAAUGAAUAAUAUGAGAAACAAGUCAAAUAAGAUUACAGCUAAAAAGAAAACGAGAUGGGAGAUUUUCUAAAACAGCUUCACUCAAAAACAGCGAAAUGUAGGAAAACCUGAAAUGACCUGAGAGGGUUGUUGUGGGCCUCAACAUCAGAGGAAUAAGUGAACCUAGGUAACGUACGUAUCACAUAGGCUAUGUACGUUAGAAUAACAUUAUACCCUAUCCAGGUGUAUUUUAAAAUGAACUGAUAACCAGUCAACAGUAGUGCACUAUAUAGGGAAUAGGGUACGAUUUGGUACCCCAGCAUCUUUCAAACAUUGAGUGAAACACUACCACUGAUUGUCCCUCAAUGUGUAUUGUGUAAUCAGCUCACUACAAACACACUAACUGUAGAAACUGGCUUCACUUCUACUGUAGAAACUGGCUUCACUUCUAACUGUAGAAACUGGUUUCACUUCUACUGUAGAAACUGGCUUCACUUCUAACUGUAGAAACUGGUUUCACUUCUACUGUAGAAACUGGCUUCACUUCUAACUGUAGAAACUGGCUUCACUUCUAACUGUAGAAAUUGGUUUCACUUCUAACUGUAGAAACUGGUUUCACUUCUAACUGUAGAAACUGGCUUCACUUUUAACUGUAGAAACUGGCUUCACUUUUACUGUAGAAACUGGCUUCACUUUUACUGUAGAAACUGGCUUCACUUCUACUGUAGAAACUGGCUUCACUUCUACUGUAGAAACUGGCUUCACUUCUACUGUAGAAACUGGCUUCACUUCUAACUGUAGAAACUGGCUUCACUUCUAACUGUAGAAACUGGCUUCACUUCUACUAUAGAAACUGGUUUCACUUUUAUUUUACUAAACUGGCUUCACUUCUAACUGUAGAAACUGGUUUCACUUCUAACUGUAGAAACUGGCUUCACUUCUAACUUUAGAAACUGGCUUCACUUCUAACUGUAGAAACUGGCUUCACUUCUAACUGUAGAAACUGGCUUCACUUCUAACUGCUGGCUUCACUUCUCCU